GAUUUAAUUAAAAGAUAUUGAGGUUCUAAACUACCUUAAGAUUUUAUUUAGAUAUAAGAUUUGAUUAGGAUUUGAUUUAGGAUUUAGGAUUUGUCUAAGGUUUGGUUUAGGAUUUAAAAUUUAACUAGGGUUUGAUUUGGGAUUUAGGAUUUGAGUAGGAUUUGAUUAGAAUUUGGAGUUUGUCUAGGAUUUGGUAAGGAUUUGGUUUAGAGUUUAGGAUUUGUCUAAAAUUUGUUUUAAAGUUUAAGAUUUGAUUGAAAUUGGGUUUAGAAUUUAGGAUUCGUCUAAGGUUUGGUUUAGAAUUUUGGAUUUGUCUAGGGUUUGAUUUGGGAUUAAAAGUUUUUCUAGAGUUUAAUUGAAGUCCAUUCAAGUUUCAAGUAGGAUCAAAUAAAAACUUAAUUGAGAUUUAUUUAAGAAAUAUUGUGAUUAUUUUAAUAUUUUUUAGGACUUCUUAAGGAUUCUUGUAAGAUUUAUUAUUGAUUAUCUUUCAAUUCUUUUAAGAUUUUUUAUUGUUUCUUUUGUAAUUUCUUUAAGCUUUCUUUUGAAUUUGAUUAAAGCUUGUUUAAUAUUGUUAAGGUUUAAUUAAAAUUUAUUUAA
rnacentral:lncRNA from 1 species